rnacentral:tRNA from 1 species
AAGACUUUAGGUUAAUUAAACUCGUAUCCUUCAAAGUUAAAAAUAAAGAUUUUGCAAAAUCUUUAAGUCUUA